rnacentral:rRNA from 1 species
AUUGGCGGGGGAGCACCACAACGGGUGGAGCUUGCGGUUUAAUUGGAUUCAACGCCGGAAAUCUUACCGGGACCGACAGCAAUAUGAAGGCCAGGCUGAAGACUUUGCCGGAUUAGCUGAGAGGUGGUGCAUGGCCGUCGUCAGUUCGUACUGUGAAGCAUCCUGUUAAGUCAGGCAACGAGCGAGACCCACGCCCACAGUUGCCAGCGUACUCUCCGGAGUGACGGGUACACUGUGGGGACCGCCGCUGCUAAAGCGGAGGAAGGAAUGGGCAACGGUAGGUCAGUAUGCCCCGAAUAUCCCGGGCUACACGCGAGCUACAAUGGUUGGUACAAUGGGUACCUACCCCGAAAGGGGAUGGAAAUCUCCUAAAGCCAAUCUUAGUUCGGAUUGAGGGCUGCAACUCGCCCUCAUGAAGCUGGAAUCCGUAGUAAUCGCGUUUCAACAGAACGCGGUGAAUACGUCCCUGCUCCUUGCACA